GACGAACGCUGGCGGCGUGCUUAACACAUGCAAGUCGAACGGUGAAGCUCCAUGCUGCUGGUGUGGAGCUGUGGCGAACAGGUGAGUAACAUACGAGCAACCUGCCCCCGACUCUGGAAAAAGCGCUUGUAACGGAGUAUCAGAAUGUAUACGAGAAGAUUCCGCAUAUGCUCAUUCUGGAAAAUUCUUCGGUUGGGGAUGGGAUCGCGGACUAUCAGCUAGUUGGUGAGGUCAUGGCUCACCAAGGCGACGACGGGUAGCCGGCCUGAGAGGGCGACCGGCCACACUUGGACUGAGACACGGCCCAGACUCCUACGGGAGGCAGCAGUGGGGAAUAUUGCACAAUGGGCGAAAGCCUGAUGCAGCGACGCCGCGUGAGGGAUGACGGCCUUCGGGUUGUAAACCUCUUUCAGCAAGGAAGAAGCGAGAGUGACGGUACCUGCAGAAGAAGCACCGGCUAACUACGUG
rnacentral:rRNA from 1 species